rnacentral:rRNA from 1 species
CCUACGGGAGGCAGCAGUGAGGAAUAUUGGACAAUGGGCGCAAGCCUGAUCCAGCCAUGCCGCGUGCAGGAAGACGGUCCUAUGGAUUGUAAACUGCUUUUGUACGGGAAGAAACACUCCUACGUGUAGGAGCUUGACGGUACCGUAAGAAUAAGGAUCGGCUAACUCCGUGCCAGCAGCCGCGAUAAUACGGAGGAUCCAAGCGUUAUCCGGAAUCAUUGGGUUUAAAGGGUCCGUAGGCGGUUUAGUAAGUCAGUGGUGAAAGCCCAUCGCUCAACGAUGGAACGGCCAUUGAUACUGCUAGACUUGAAUUACUAGGAAGUAACUAGAAUAUGUAGUGUAGCGGUGAAAUGCUUAGAUAUUACAUGGAAUACCAAUUGCGAAGGCAGGUUACUACUAGUGGAUUGACGCUGAUGGACGAAAGCGUGGGGAGCGAACAGGAUUAGAUACCCUGGUAGUCCACGCCGUAAACGAUGGAUACUAGCUGUUCGGGGCAACCUGAGUGGCUAAGCGAAAGUGAUAAGUAUCCACCUGGGGAGUACGUUCGCAAGAAUUGAAACUCAAAUUGAAUUGACGG